rnacentral:rRNA from 1 species
AUGCUUGGGUGCGCUAGGUGCGUGAAAAUUUAUGUGGUGUUUCGACAUUCGAGGAGCUCGUGGCAAAAAAAACAAAUUUUGGCUAAAAAAAUAAAAUAUGUUUUGAGAGCUCCUCGGAUAUUAUUUGACCACAAAAAUUACCCGCACCGAGUGCACCCAAGCAUCUUGGUUGUUACAAAAUUUCAGAUAUUUUUGAAAGUGUUCGCUAUUUUUUUGAAUUUAUUUUUCACUGGUCAAACCUGGUCAACCAGGUCAAACGCGGUCAACGUGCUCAAAAAUCUCGUUUCGGAUCAAACUUAUUUGGUUUUGAGACUUGAAGGACCAAAUGCCUAUCGAAAAAUCUUAAGGGACCAAGUCUAUGCUUUUGAAAACUUGAGAGACCAAAAACAUGCUUUUUUUCAAAAAGAAAAGAAUACCAAGGAGCAAAUUCCUGGCUCCGACACUGACACCAACGUAUGUUCUUGCCUGGAAGUAGCGCUGCAUUUUGUUUUGUCUCGUUAG